AACUGCUACAGCUCUUUUCAAAUUGGUCCAGCAGGACUUCCGGUCUCUACUGGAAGGCCCCA
ensembl:snRNA U7 U7 small nuclear RNA